GUCCUGCUUAAUUCCCGUCCUGCUUCCGACUUAUAAUGUCUUCAGAAUAAUAUUUUACUGAUACGAAGAUAUUCUGAGAAAACUUCGCGAUGAAGAAACGUCAAUCUUCAAAAACGUCGAGCUUCUAAACCGUCGUGCUUCAAAAAUGUGAUUCUUCCAAAACUGCCGUCUGAUCAAUCUAACACUUUUCUAACCAUGGUCCAGCAGCUUAUGGUUCACCCAAGAUCAAUUCUUCGACCAUCCAUUGCCCGCGGUAAAACCACUAAAUAAUAGUAUAUUUUUUUUUUUUUUUUAAGGGUUUCUACAUUCUCUCCCCCCCCGUUAACAGAAUUCGUCCUCGAAUUCUAAGGCUCUGAGGGGCCUCCUUCUUCCAUUACUACGUCCUCUCGGAAUAACUCCGGGUGAUCGGUUUUAAAUCUCGCUUCAUCCUCCCAAGUAACAUGAAUCCUGUUUUGUCUUCCCCAGAACACUUGUACUUGAGCAAUCUCACGAUUUUUGAGCUUCCGAAUACGCCGUUCUCCUAAUCUGAUUGGUCCUUCCGGAUACGUAAGGUUUGUCUCCAACUCCUCGAUUCUCUCGGGCUCAACAGUACUUGGAUCCCGUAUGUGUUUCCGAAGCAUGGAAACAUGGAAUACUGGAUGUAGAUGCAUAUCUGCUGGCAGAUCCAAUCGGUAAGCUACCUCACCAACUUUCCCGAUGAUCUUAUACGGACCAAUGAACCUGACCGCAAGUUUCCCGACCUUGCCAAAUCUGUCCUUCCCUUUCUGUGCA
rnacentral:lncRNA from 1 species